AGAGAGAGUUCAAGAGUACGUGAAACCGUUCAGGGGUAAACCUGAGAAACCCAAAAGAUCGAAUGGGGAGAUUCAUCGUCAGCUCAUUUUGUAUAUAUAUUAGUUAUGAUAUGGGUUACUACUUGUAGUAUUGCCUGUACAUUCUUUUAUAUUUAAUUGCAAGAUGUUGUCGGCGUGCACUUCUCCCCUAGUAGGACGUCGCAACCCGUUGAGUGUCGGUUUACGGCUCAAGUUGGUAGCCUUUAAUUUAUUUAUAAAUUAAAGACCCUUGAUGUUUUCUAACUGGCUGCUCGGCGGUAUUCGUAUGGUAUUAGGCCGCAUAUAUAUGCGUUUAUAUCUGUCGCAAGCGCGGUCAAUUUUUGGUAGUACGGACCUAGUGCCGUCGCUAUAAUUGAUCAGCUGUUGGUUGUACGGUAUUCUAUAACUGGCUUAUAAAUAUAUAUACCGGUUUGCGAUGCUACUGCUUUGGGUACUUUCAGGACCCGUCUUGAAACACGGACCAAA
rnacentral:rRNA from 1 species